GCCGGCGUAGCUUAGUCUGGAGGAGCACCCGGCUGUUAACCGGGUGGUCACCGGUUCAAAUCCGGUCGCCGGCG
rnacentral:tRNA from 1 species